rnacentral:rRNA from 1 species
AUUGAACGCUGGCGGCAGGCUUAACACAUGCAAGUCGAACGAGCGGCGGACGGGUGAGUAAUGUAUGGGGAUCUGGCUGAUGGAGGGGGAUAACUACUGGAAACGGUGGCUAAUACCGCAUACCAUAGGAUGAACCCAAAUGGGAUUAGCUAGUUGGUGGGGUAAAGGCUCACCAAGCCGACGAUCUCUAGCUGGUCUGAGAGGAUGACCAGCCACACUGGGACUGAGACACGGCCCAGACUCCUACGGGAGGCAGCAGUGGGGAAUAUUGCGCAAUGGGCGCAAGCCUGACGCAGCCAUGCCGCGUGAAUGAAGAAGGCCUUAGGGUUGUAAAGUUCUUUCGGCAGGGAGGCGUUACCUGCAGAAGAAGCACCGGCUAACUCCGUGCCAGCAGCCGCGGUAAUAC